AUUGAACGCUGGCGGCAGGCCUAACACAUGCAAGUCGAGCGGAGCGGGGGACGGGGGAGGAAUGCCUAGGAAUCUGCCUGGUAGUGAGGGAUAAGGUCCGGAAACGGGAGCUAAUGCGAAAUACUAUCACAUGAGCCUAGGUCGGAUUAGCUAGUUGGUGGGGUAAAGGCCUACCAAGGCGACGAUCCGUAACUGGUCUGAGAGGAUGAUCAGUCACACUGGAACUGAGACACGGUCCAGACUCCUACGGGAGGCAGCAGUGGGGAAUAUUGGACAAUGGGCGAAAGCCUGAUCCAGCCAUGCCGCGUGUGUGAAGAAGGUCUUCGGAUUGUAAAGCACUUUCAGUUGGGAGGCGUUACCAGCAGAAUAAGCACCGGCUAACUUCGUGCCAGCAGCCGCGGUAAUUC
rnacentral:rRNA from 1 species